GGCGCGUUCCGAGCAGCCGCGGCGUUGCCUGGGGCGGUUCGGGACCUGGGGUGGGCGUGGACGGAGGCCUGAGGAUGGGCAGCCCCUCGCUCCGCCCCUGGCGUCCCUUGGGGAGCCCGCUCCGAACCCCGCGAAGCCUUCGGGUCGGGGAGAGCGAUUUUCUGCGAAGGCAAAGCGUGGUCAAGUGGUUUGGGCUGCUUCGAGGGAAAAAUAGACCGUCACGCCUGUCCAGAGCUUUGGGGGAGAGAAGCCCGGGCACGGUGUCCUGGUUUCGGGGGGUGGGGUGGGGUGGGGGUGUCCUCGGCUCCAGCUCAUCCUUCCCCUGCAGCCUGACCGAGCUAGAGGUGCAGAGGAAGCCCAGAAAGAGGAAGGAGGCCCCGAUUUCGGCCUUGGCGACAGAGCUGCAUAGAUCUCCGUGGGAUGUUGUGGACUAACAGCCCAAGGAACGGUAUCACCCACAAUGUGUUGGGCACUUCUACAUGAAUGAAAGGAGCUUUAUAAAGACAAUUUCCCAGACAUGCCCACAGGACAAUCUACUCUAGGAAAUUCCUCAGAUGACUAUAGGCUAUGUCAAGUUGAGAUUAAAGAUGACAGGAACACCGCGCAAAAAGCCAGGUGGGCAUAGGGAGGGAUACAGAGGGGCAGAGAUAAAGAUGCCUGGAGAAUGCUGGCUUGCCAGGCUAGCUGAAACCGAGUCCCAGGUUCAGUGAAGUACCCCACCUCAAAGUGACUGGGAGAGAUACCCAUAUACCAACCUCAGGCCUCCAUGCCAGCAUGCACACAUGCACCAUACCGUUCAAACAUAUAUGCACACACGCAUACAUAAGAAAGAGGGGGAGAGAAAGCAAGAGUGAACCAAAUCAGUUCUGGUUUUAAGGACUGCUUCAUGUGGGACCUCCUACACUUCAAGAUUUGCGUUUUCUGGAAAUCUAACUACAUUUUUAAACUGUCUCAAAUCCUCUUGGCAGUUUGUUGCUGUGUCUUUACAGCCCAUAAUUUCUUAUAUCUCCUGGCAUUUUCUUGAGGAACUACAUCUCUACUAUGAUGUAGUAAUCAGUUUUUUUUUAAUGAUUUCUAGAUAAGUCUUCUAGCUCUGUCAACUCUCCAAGCCAGAUGAGAAGAAACCAGGUUCUCAGACAGUCCCCAGGUUCUUCAGUGUAUUGGGCACACUCUGGAGUAGGAAGUUACUUUCCCAUUGUUUCCCAUGUCCCUUGUUGAUUCAGAGAGGGAGAUGGGAACACAAAGUAAUGAAGAGUGGCAUUUCUCAUUUGCUAGCAAGUUCAGGGGUUAGAGGCAUACACCCUACCACUUGGGGUUUGGGUGGGGAGUUACUUGUUUCAGAUUAAUUUUAUGUUGUUAGAGAAAAAAGAUUGUUAGAAAAAGUUGGCAUAUGUUCUCUCUCUCUCUCUACAAGAGCUUUAACUUAUUUUCCUCUUUGCCACAUCUACAAAGGGCAAAGUUUUUCUACACAUUUCAUGCUGUUAUACAUACCUUUUUCCUAAACAUACCUUUUUUUCUAUACAUUUCAUGCUGCUUUCUGGCUGCCAGGCUUGUAGCUUUGUGUUAUUAAAUAUCAAAGUUGUCACAUUAUUUGCAUUUAACUUUUUCUUUCUAGGGGUGCUUUGUACUUCAUCUGAUUCUUUCAGGCCUGUUGAUUUUCCUCCUUCUACCCCCACCCACCAAUGGCUCUCUUAAGCUUCCUUUUUGUUUGUUUUCUUUAUUCUCUGACUUGCAGCAAUGUGUAAGGAUGGAAGCUUCUGUUGGAAUUUCUCCUUUACAAGUAAUUUGAAGGUUGUGUAAUAAUCAUUCAGUAAUAUUUAAAGUGUGGGUCAUGUGUGUUAUAUAUUAUCUGUGUGGUUUUUAUGUGAUACUAGAAGGUUGAAUCGACCAUCUUUGUGUAUGGUAGAGCUGUUUCACUAAACUGUAUCUACAGCCUUUUUAUUUUGAUACAGGGUUUCACUAAGUUGCCCAGCCCAGCUGUGAACUCAGUCAUAGCCUGGUCUUGAACUUGCUAUCUGCAGCCUCUAUGUGGUUGAGAUUAUAAGCUUGGGCCUCCAGGCCUGUUGCAAGCAAGUCUUAUAUUCCUAGAAGGGGUGCCUUGUCCCUGAGGUUCUACAGUGCCAGGUUGAUGUAACAAGCUCCCCUUCCAUCCCUUGCUUCAGAAACUCAUUUCACAUGUUGUUCUUGGGCAGAGACCACAGUAUAGUAAAAUGGCAAGGACAGAUACUAUGCUGGGUCUUCGUCAAAAGGCCACGAAGCAGUAAUUCAUUGGCUUUUCUAGAGGACUGUGUGCUGUAGCCAUUUUUCUCUAGACCCGGCAGCCAGCUGUGUGUUACUUUGGGGUCUGAGUAAAAAGCAUUAUUGUUCGUAUUAUUGUGGCACGUGGAGGGAGUUGAGUGAGCCCUGCUUUCCUAACUCAUUCAGCCUAUGGCUGUCUGUUCUCUUCAGGUGCCUGAGCAAGCCAGAGCGGAAGUCCCUUUGUUUCCCUUCAACAUUGUUCAAUUCUCUUUUGAGCCCUUUUCACCCUUUUUCACUGAGGAGAUGAAGACAAAAGUAGACAGAUUCUGCUGAACUGUUGCAUAACUUACAACCUCCCUUCAUUAACUUAUUUGUUGCGACAGGGUGUCUCAGUGAAUCUGGAGCUCACAGAUUUGGUCAUCCUGUUUCUACCUGCCAGUGCUGGGAUUAGAGGCAUGUACCGCUUGCACUCAGGUGUUGACGCGGGUACCAGGGACCUGAACUCAAGUUGUCAAGCAAGCAGAUCAUCCACUGAACCCCUUCCCGGGCCCCUUGUUGCAACUUUUUAAAAAAUUUAAAAGCACUUUUGGAUCUCACCCUGGCCUGGGACUGAUGAAAAUAAAAGAGGAAGAGGAAAGUGACACCCCGGGCAUGGGAGUGUGAGUCUCCCCACACUUUUCAAGUGCCACUUCACAUACAGAGAAAAUGACUCUCCAUCUUGGUAAAAAGUUGGUAUACCAGCUAAAGUUUAUGGUCAUCUUCAAAAUUUCAAUAAAUGUAUAAAACUCAAAACAUUUUCUCCUUUUAAGACAUGGUAAGGGGGAAAUAUGAGU